rnacentral:rRNA from 1 species
AUUUGAUCAUGGCUCAGGAUGAACGCUGCGGUAUGCCUAACACAUGCAAGUCGUACGAGAGUUUUUAACUCUAGUGGCGGACGGGUGAGUAACACGUGAGAAUUUGCCUUUAGGAGGGGAUAACAAUUGGAACGAAUGCUAAUACCCCAUAUGCUUUUGAGUGAAAUGGAUUUUAUCCGCCUAGAGAGAAGCUCGCGGCUGAUUAGCUUGUUGGUGAGGUAAUGGCUCACCAAGGCGACGAUCAGUAUCUGGUUUGAGAGGAUGAUCAGACACACUGGAACUGAGACACGGUCCAGACUCCUACGGGAGGCAGCAGUGGGGAAUUUUCCGCAAUGGGCGAAAGCCUGACGGAGCAAUCUCGCGUGGGGGAUGACGGCCUAUGGGCUGUAAACCUCUUUUUUCAGGGAGGAACAAAUGACGUGUACCUGAAGAAUAAGCAUCGGCUAACUCCGUG